UACGUAGGGUGCAAGCGUUGUCCGGAAUUAUUGGGCGUAAAGGGCUCGUAGGCGGUCCAUCGCGUCGGGAGUGAAAAGCUGGGGCUCAACCCCAGUCCUGCUUUCGAUACGGGUGGACUAGAGGUAUGCGGGGGAGAACGGAAUUCCUGGUGUAGCGGUGAAAUGCGCAGAUAUCAGGAGGAACACCGGUGGCGAAGGCGGUUCUCUGGGCAUUACCUGACGCUGAGGAGCGAAAGCGUGGGGAGCAAACAGG
rnacentral:rRNA from 1 species